GCCGUUCGGGCUUUAACUUGGUGCUACAUGUUGAUAACGGACAAGUCGUGUAGCUUCCUGUAUUAACCCAGCCGUAGAGCUCCUAGGUCAGCAAGAUGUGUAGGUGAGCCAGACACGGUUUUAAUACCAUGCUUUUACAAACGUAGUGAAGGUUUUCCUAGUACCCCACCGCCCCCGUUUCCCUCUUUAGAAAAAUGGGCAUACCAGGGGGAGGCAAGGAGAAAGCGCCGCACGUAAGUACAAUGACUUUCUCAUCGUUAUACAGGUUUCCUUUUCAUUCCUUGCUGUCCUAAUACCUUCCUUAGUUCUUGUGCUGUCCGGAUAAAUCCUUUUCUGGGUACUGAACGAAAUCCCAUAGCAAAAGUGAAGCAUGCCGGAAAAGCGACAGGUCCAGCAGAAAGAACAGUUACAUGGUGGAAAGCCCCCUAGGUUACAUGAACGCAUCUACACGAAGCCAGCACAUGCCUAAUGUACCGCAUGACCGGUGUACGACAUGCCAAGAUCGUGGUCAAUGUGGACAUGCAGGAAACUUGUGAAAGAUUCACUCGUCAUCGUCCAUCAGGGUGGCCAGCUUCUGCUUCAG
rnacentral:lncRNA from 1 species